UUCCUAUUUAUUAGCCUUCUUUCUAUUCAACAUCAACUUCGUUAGCUAACUAAUUGAUCCUCGCCCAUCUUUGGCUGCCUGUUAGGAGAAUUAUGUUGGACCUAUGCGAUCUCGUUACAACGUUCUUUUUUUUACAGAGAUUUCUGGUGAAAAUGGAACGAACCAAGUUAACCUAUACGAGAGUGAGGAAGAAAAACCAACAAUCAACUUACC
rnacentral:lncRNA from 1 species